UACGGAGGAUGCGAGCGUUAUCCGGAUUUAUUGGGUUUAAAGGGUGCGUAGGCGGAUCGUUAAGUCAGUGGUCAAAUUGAGGGGCUCAACCCCUUCCCACCAUUGAAACUGGCGAUCUUGAGUGGAAGAGAAGUAUGCGGAAUGCAUGGUGUAGCGGUGAAAUGCAUAGAUAUCACGCAGAACCCCGAUUGCGAAGGCAGCAUGCCGGCUUCCUACUGACGCUGAAGCACGAAAGCGUGGGGAUCGAACAGG
rnacentral:rRNA from 1 species